ACCGAAAUAGCUCAGUUGGGAGAGCGUUAGACUAUAGACCGAAAAGUCCCAGGUUUGAUCCCGGUUUCCGGCA
rnacentral:tRNA from 1 species